rnacentral:rRNA from 1 species
AUGAAGAAAGAAUUUGGAGGCUUGAGAAUACCAAACCUCCAAGAUGUAAAUCUGUGUUUACUAAGAUCCUGGGUCAAGAGAUACUAUGAAUUUUGGAAAGGAUUCCAAUCUAUCAUCCAAACUCUCAAGUUUGCCUAUUGGUGGAAACUUGGUAGUGGAGACAAGAUUAGAUUCUGGGAAGACACCUGGUUUGGUACCUCCCCACUAGCUAUUCAAUUCUGUUCGGUCUAUACUAUUUGCAAUGAGCAAACUAAAAGCUUCAGGGAUGUGUGGGAUGGAGAAACCCUCAAACUAACAUUUAGGAGAAAUUUUGAUAGCAAACUCAUGGAGCAAUGGUACCAGUUGGUAGAUAUUGCUGGGAGCAUUGCUCUCAGUAAUGACACAGACUCUUUGGUCCGGCAACUAGGGAACAAAGGGGUCUACUCUUCCAGCUCCCUAUACCAUGUGAUUAAUUUUAGAGGGGUGCAACCAGUUUUCCUCCCUGCUGUGUGGAAACUCUUUGUACCCCCAAAAAUGCAUGUCUUUCUCUGGUUAUUUUCUACUAACACGUUGAUAACCAGAGACAAUUUGAGGAAAAGACACGUUCUAAAACCGUUCAUCAAAAAAAAAAAGGUGUGCAAAGGACACCCACUUAUAGUCAAGAGGUUUGUUCCGGGGAGAGGGACGACGAGGAAGGGUGAAGGAAAAACUCUCCUUGGGCAGUAG